rnacentral:rRNA from 1 species
UACGAAGGGGGCGAGCGUUGUUCGGAUUUACUGGGCGUAAAGGGCGCGCAGGCGGCGAGUUUUGUCAGGCGUGAAAGCCCCGGGCUCAACCUGGGAAUUGCGCUUGAAACGGGCUUGCUAGAGAUCGGGAGAGGAGAGUGGAAUUCCCAGUGUAGAGGUGAAAUUCGUAGAUAUUGGGAAGAACACCGGUGGGCGAAGGCGGCUCUCUGGACCGAUACUGACGCUGAGGCGCGAAAGCGUGGGGAGCAAAACAGG